ACAGAGAUAGCUUGCUAUCUGCUGACGAGCGGCGGACGGGUGAGUAAUGCUUGGGAAUAUGCCUUAUGGUGGGGGACAACAGUUGGAAACGACUGCUAAUACCGCAUAACGUCUACGGACCAAAGGGGGGGAUGCUUCGGCACCUCCCGCCAUUUGAUUAGCCCAAGUGAGAUUAGCUAGUAGGUGAGGUAAGAGCUCACCUAGGCGACGAUCUCUAGCUGGUUUGAGAGGAUGAUCAGCCACACUGGGACUGAGACACGGCCCAGACUCCUACGGGAGGCAGCAGUGGGGAAUAUUGCACAAUGGGCGAAAGCCUGAUGCAGCCAUGCCGCGUGUGUGAAGAAGGCCUUCGGGUUGUAAAGCACUUUCAGCGAGGAGGAAAGGUUAGUGGUUAAUAGCCACUAGCUGUGACGUUACUCGCAGAAGAAGCACCGGCUAACUUCGUGCCAGCAGCCGCGGUAAUACGAGGGGUGCAAGCGUUAAUCGGAAUUACUGGGCGUAAAGCGUGCGUAGGUGGUUUGUUAAGCAAGAUGUGAAAGCCCUGGGCUCAACCUGGGAACUGCAUUUUGAACUGGCAAGCUAGAGUUUUGUAGAGGGUAGUGGAAUUUCCAGUGUAGCGGUGAAAUGCGUAGAGAUUGGAAGGAACAUCAGUGGCGAAG
rnacentral:rRNA from 1 species